rnacentral:rRNA from 1 species
AUACAGAGGGUGCGAGCGUUAAUCGGAAUUACUGGGCGUAAAGCGCGCGUAGGCGGCUUGGUCAGUCGGAUGUGAAAGCCCUGGGCUCAACCUGGGAAUUGCAUUCGAUACUGCCAAGCUAGAGUAUGGGAGAGGGAAGUGGAAUUUCCGGUGUAGCGGUGAAAUGCGUAGAUAUCGGAAAGAACACCAGUGGCGAAGGCGACUUCCUGGCCCAAUACUGACGCUGAGGUGCGAAAGCGUGGGGAGCGAACAGGAUUAGAAACCCCAGUAGUCC